ACUCAAAGGAAUUGACGGGGACCCACACAAGCGGUGGAGCAUGGGGUUUAAUUCGAUAAUAAGCGAAGCACCUCACCCAGGCUUGACAUCUAUGGAAUCCCCCCGAAAAGGGGGAGUGCCGCAAGGAACCAUAAGACAGGCGCUGCACGGUCGUCGUCAGCUCGUGCCUUGAGGUGUGUUGUUCAGUCAAUGAACGAGCGCAACCCUCGUCCUGUGUUACAUUUUCACAGGAGACUGCCGGCUCCAAGCCGGAGGAAGGUGAGGAUGACGUCAGAUCAGCGUGGCCCUUAUGCCUGGGGCAACACCCGUGCUACAAUGGUUGGUACAGAGCGCAGCAAACCCGCAAGGGGGAGCAAAUCGCACAAAGCCAAUCUCAGUUCGGAUUGAAGUCUGCAACUCGACUUCAUGAAGUUGGAAUCGCUAGUAACCGUGAAUCAGCUACGUCACGGUGAAUAUGUUCCUGGGUCUUGCACACACCGCCCGU
rnacentral:rRNA from 1 species